rnacentral:lncRNA from 1 species
UUCCAUUCGAAGAAGGGCGGAGGUAUCCCGUUCAUCGUAUUGUUUAUUUGGUAAUUCAUACGAACUGCAAAGAGCAUUCAUUCUUCAAACAAAUUACUUCUUCCCGUCAGGUAGAAUAGCAAAUAGCAAAUUACUAUUAUCUUCUCUCAAGACAGGUCACUGUGUAUUUAUUAUCAUGGCUAGAAGACAUACAAGAUAUUGGAGAACAAAAGUGGGACAUUCACAAGAUCAUUUGAUUAAUGAAGAAAACGUUGAUCACUUUUAUGAAUCCUUGGAGUAUAAAACUGGAUCUCGCGUUGAUUGAUUGGUUGGAUUGGCCUCGCAUUAUUCUCUGCAUCCUGAAAAUGGAAAAAAAUGAUAAUUAUACACAAAGACAGAAGUCUUAAAAAAAGAAAGGAAAAAUUGUACGUGUUUUAUUAUAAACAAAAUUUGCAGCCCAGGUCAAAUAUUAUGUGCUCUACUUAUCCAUCAAAUCUAAUUUCAUCCUACAUAUGUAUAAAAAGGAUACAAAAGUGAAUACUAGUAAAAGAACCAAUAUCAUGCUCUAGAAAAAAAUAAACUCGAUGAACUAUGUGAAUUACGUCUUGAAUCACAAAUUUGGCAAAACAAUG